AUUGAACGCUGGCGGCAUGCCUUACACAUGCAAGUCGAACGGCAGCACGGAGCUUGCUCUGGUGGCGAGUGGCGAACGGGUGAGUAAUAUAUCGGAACGUACCCUAGAGUGGGGGAUAACGUAGCGAAAGUUACGCUAAUACCGCAUACGAUCUAAGGAUGAAAGUGGGGGAUCGCAAGACCUCAUGCUCGUGGAGCGGCCGAUAUCUGAUUAGCUAGUUGGUAGGGUAAAAGCCUACCAAGGCAUCGAUCAGUAGCUGGUCUGAGAGGACGACCAGCCACACUGGAACUGAGACACGGUCCAGACUCCUACGGGAGGCAGCAGUGGGGAAUUUUGGACAAUGGGCGAAAGCCUGAUCCAGCAAUGCCGCGUGAGUGAAGAAGGCCUUCGGGUUGUAAAGCUCUUUUGUCAGGGAAGAAACGGUGGGAGCUAAUAUCUCUUGCUAAUGACGGUACCUGAAGAAUAAGCACCGGCUAACUACGUGCCAGCAGCCGCGGUAAUACGUAGGGUGCAAGCGUUAAUCGGAAUUACUGGGCGUAAAGCGUGCGCAGGCGGUUUUGUAAGUCUGAUGUGAAAUCCCCGGGCUCAACCUGGGAAUUGCAUUGGAGACUGCAAGGCUAGAAUCUGGCAGAGGGGGGUAGAAUUCCACGUGUAGCAGUGAAAUGCGUAGAUAUGUGGAGGAGCACCGAUGGCGAAGGCAGCCCCCUGGGUCAAGAUUGACGCUCAUGCACGAAAGCGUGGGGAGCAAACAGGAUUAGAUACCCUGGUAGUCCACGCCCUAAACGAUGUCUACUAGUUGUCGGGUCUUAAUUGACUUGGUAACGCAGCUAACGCGUGAAGUAGACCGCCUGGGGAGUACGGUCGCAAGAUUAAAACUCAAAGGAAUUGACGGGGACCCGCACAAGCGGUGGAUGAUGUGGAUUAAUUCGAUGCAACGCGAAAAACCUUACCUACCCUUGACAUGGCUGGAAUCCUUGAGAGAUCAGGGAGUGCUCGAAAGAGAACCAGUACACAGGUGCUGCAUGGCUGUCGUCAGCUCGUGUCGUGAGAUGUUGGGUUAAGUCCCGCAACGAGCGCAACCCUUGUCAUUAGUUGCUACGAAAGGGCACUCUAGUGAGACUGCCGGUGACAAACCGGAGGAAGGUGGGGAUGACGUCAAGUCCUCAUGGCCCUUAUGGGUAGGGCUUCACACGUCAUACAAUGGUACAUACAGAGCGCCGCCAACCCGCGAGGGGGAGCUAAUCGCAGAAAGUGUAUCGUAGUCCGGAUUGUAGUCUGCAACUCGACUGCAUGAAGUUGGAAUCGCUAGUAAUCGCGGAUCAGCAUGUCGCGGUGAAUACGUUCCCGGGUCU
rnacentral:rRNA from 1 species